rnacentral:rRNA from 1 species
GACGAACGCUGGCGGCGUGCUUAACACAUGCCAGUCGAACGGAAAGGCCCUGCUUUUGUGGGGUGCUCGAGUGGCGAACGGGUGAGUAACACGUGAGUAACCUGCCCUUGACUUUGGGAUAACUUCAGGAAACUGGGGCUAAUACCGGAUAGGAGCUCCUGCUGCAUGGUGGGGGUUGGAAAGUUUCGGCGGUUGGGGAUGGACUCGCGGCUUAUCAGCUUGUUGGUGGGGUAGUGGCUUACCAAGGCUUUGACGGGUAGCCGGCCUGAGAGGGUGACCGGCCACAUUGGGACUGAGAUACGGCCCAGACUCCUACGGGAGGCAGCAGUGGGGAAAUUUGCACAAUGGGCGGAAGCCUGAUGCAGCAACGCCGCGUGCGGGAUGACGGCCUUCGGGUUGUAAACCGCUUUCGCCUGUGACGAAGCGUGAGUGACGGUAAUGGGUAAAGAAGCACCGGCUAACUACGUG